rnacentral:snRNA from 1 species
UUGCUUCAGCAGCAACUAUACUAAAAUUGGAAUAUACAGAGAAGAUUAGCAUGGCCCCUGUGCAAGAAUGACAUGCAAAUUCAUGAAGCAUUCAAUAUUUAU